rnacentral:rRNA from 1 species
AAAAUUUUAAAGGUCGAACAGACCUAAUUUUUUUAGCUUCUACACCAAAAAUUUAUUUUAAUCCAACAUCGAGGUCGCAAUCUUUUUUUUCGAUUUGAACUCUCAAAAAAAAUAACG